UCAGUGUUCGGGGCACCACGGGAGCCCCAGCGGAGGAGCUGAUGGGAAGCUGGACUGCGGAAGUGGAAAAACUUUGAGUUCCCUUUGUUCUCCAGUGUAUCUUGUAUAAAAUAUUACAUUUUUAAACACAUAUUUACAUUGUUUGCACAAAUAGAAAAUGGUUACAAAUCAAGACCAAGCUUGGCCAGGUAACAAACACUUCCCUUCUCCCAAGGACCAAGGCCAGAGAGAGGUCUGAUUGCUUUGUAUUUACAUAUGCAUUAAAAAGUCUGCCUUCUUAGACACGUAGGUGAAGUUUAUAAAAACUGGGUUAACAUCAUAAAUUCAUUUAUGUCAGCUGUACAAAUAAUCAAUACCAAUUAGUCAGUUCAUGUCCUGCACCCUGAAGAAAGAUUUUGAAGCAAAAGAAACCCUCUCAAACAAGCAACACAUCCCUUGGCCUGUCUGCUCCAAUCAGUUUGGCUUGGGGAGGGGGAGUGGGAAGGAAGAGGAGAGGAUUGGGGGAGGGGGGAGAAUGGGAUAACUGGUUGAGACAGUUUUCCUUCCACAUUUUUUUUUUUUUAACAGUUUAGAACCAGGUUAACCCGACUGGCCUGUUAAACACCAUCCUAUGGCUUUAAAAAGAACCCACAGCUCCUUCCUUGUCUCAGAGACAAAACACCUUUCUCAACAUGACUACCGUAUAAUAUUUU